CCUACGGGUGGCAGCAGUAGGGAAUUUUCGUCAAUGGGCGCAAGCCUGAACGAGCAAUGCCGCGUGAACGAGGAAGGUCUUCGGAUCGUAAAGUUCUGUUGAAGGGGAAAAGAGCUGAGAGAGGAAAUGGUCUCCGAUUGGUAUUACCCUUCGAGGAAGUCACGGCUAACUACGUGCCAGCAGCCUCGGUAAUACGUAGGUGGCGAGCGUUAUCCGGAUUGGUUGGGCGUAAAGGGUGCGUAGGCGGCCUGCUACGUCUGGAGUGAAAGGUACCGGCUCAACCGGUACAGGCUCUGGAAACUGGCGGGCUAGAGAGCAGGAGAGGGCAGUGGAACUCCAUGUGUAGCGGUAAAAUGCGUAGAUAUAUGGAAGAACACCAGUGGCGAAGGCGGCCGACUGGCCUGUUACUGACGCUGAGGCACGAAAGCGUGGGGAGCAAAUAGGAUUAGAUACCCCGGUAGUC
rnacentral:rRNA from 1 species